AUGAUGAGAGGGUAUUGAGGGAACAGAUGCCCGUCGGCCUGGCCCACUGA
rnacentral:snoRNA from 1 species